rnacentral:pre_miRNA from 1 species
UUGGGAGUUUUGAUGACUUCAACUUAUAGACUUGGAGGAUUUGAAGACUUCAAUUUGUCGACUUGAAGGAUUUGGAGACUUCAACU